GGCAGGUGCUCUGGGCAAAUGAUGCCUCUUGAGCUUAGUUGAACUGAGCUAAACAAACCAGGAAGUAACAGGACAUGUUGUCUGAGCCAGCAAGGGGUGUAACAAGAUUAAUUUGUCAUUUAUCUAUUGAAAUCUGCACUUUUUGAAAAAUAAAAUUGAAAAAAAGAGGACAAGCUUCACGCAUAAAGCACUUCAGCAACCUAUCCUAGCAAC